rnacentral:rRNA from 1 species
AUUGAACGCUGGCGGCAUGCUUUACACAUGCAAGUCGAACGGCAGCGCGGGCUUCGGCCUGGCGGCGAGUGGCGAACGGGUGAGUAAUGCAUCGGAACGUGCCCAGUAGUGGGGGAUAGCCCGGCGAAAGCCGGAUUAAUACCGCAUACGACCUGAGGGUGAAAGCGGGGGGCCGAAAGGCCUCGCGCUAUUGGAGCGGCCGAUGUCGGGUUAGCUAGUUGGUGGGGUAAAGGCUUACCUAGGCGACGAUCCGUAGCUGGUCUGAGAGGACGACCAGCCACACUGGGACUGAGACACGGCCCAGACUCCUACGGGAGGCAGCAGUGGGGAAUGUUGGACAAUGGGGGCAACCCUGAUCCAGCCAUGCCGCGUGCGGGAAGAAGGCCUUCGGGUUGUAAACCGCUUUUGUUCGGGAAGAAAUCCUCUGGGCUAAUACCCCGGGGGGAUGACGGUACCGGAAGAAUAAGCACUGGCUAACUACGUG